rnacentral:rRNA from 1 species
CUACGGGGGGCUGCAGUGAGGAAUAUUGCACAAUGGGGGGAACCCUGAUGCAGCAACGCCGCGUGGAGGAUGACGCAUUUCGGUGUGUAAACUCCUUCUAUAUGUCAAGAAAAUGACGGUAGCAUAUGAAUAAGCACCGGCUAACUCCGUGCCAGCAGCCGCGGUAAUACGGAGGGUGCAAGCGUUACUCGGAAUCACUGGGCGUAAAGGACGCGUAGGCGGGUUGGAAAGUCAGGUGUGAAAUCCUACAGCUUAACUGUAGAACUGCACUUGAAACUUCUAAUCUAGAGUAUGGGAGGGGGAGAUGGAAUUAGUGGUGUAGGGGUAAAAUCCGUAGAUAUCACUAGGAAUACCUAAAGCGAAGGCGAUCUCCUGGAACAUAACUGACGCUAAGGCGUGAAAGCGUGGGGAGCAAACAGGAUUAGAUACCCCCGUAGUC